rnacentral:rRNA from 1 species
UACGAAGCGGGCGAACGUUAUUCGGAAUCAUUGGGCUUAAAGGGCGCGUAGGCGGGACGGCGCGUCGGCCGCUGAAAUCCCCCGGCUCAACCGGGGAACAGGCGCCGAUACGGCCGGUCCUGGAGGCGAGGAGGGGGACCCGGUACGUCCGGUGGAGCGGUGAAAUGCGUUGAGAUCGGACGGAACACCGACGGCGAAAGCAGGGUCCUGGACUCGUACUGACGCUGAGGCGCGAAAGCCAGGGGAGCGAACGGG